AGAGUUUGAUCCUGGCUCAGAGUGAACGCUGGCGGUAGGCCUAACACAUGCAAGUCGAACGGCAGCACAGUAAGAGCUUGCUCUUAUGGGUGGCGAGUGGCGGACGGGUGAGGAAUACAUCGGAAUCUACCUUUUCGUGGGGGAUAACGUAGGGAAACUUACGCUAAUACCGCAUACGACCUUCGGGUGAAAGCAGGGGACCUUCGGGCCUUGCGCGGAUAGAUGAGCCGAUGUCGGAUUAGCUAGUUGGCGGGGUAAAGGCCCACCAAGGCGACGAUCCGUAGCUGGUCUGAGAGGAUGAUCAGCCACACUGGAACUGAGACACGGUCCAGACUUCCUACGGGAGGCAGCAGUGGGGAAUAUUGGACAAUGGGCGCAAGCCUGAUCCAGCCAUACCGCGUGGGUGAAGAAGGCCUUCGGGUUGUAAAGCCCUUUUGUUGGGAAAGAAAAGCAGUCGAUUAAUACUCGGUUGUUCUGACGGUACCCAAAGAAUAAGCACGGCUANUAACGNGGUUCAA
rnacentral:rRNA from 1 species